AUGGUGAUGGGGAAAAGAGACGUGGGUUGAAGGGGAGAUGGGUUACAGAGGGUGGAGUGGGUGAGCAAAAAUAGCUUAGGCAUAUCGUGGACAAAUGUCCACUACUGAGUCCUGGGGAGAGCAAUGGUUUCAUCUUGCCUCUUUAGAAUAAUGUAACGUGGAAACGGAGGCACUGUGGAACUCGGGAUUAAGGAAGGGCAGGGAGUUUCUCCUGAUAGGAUCCUGGGCAGAGCUGCCCAGCCUUAGAAGGUGGGUGGGGGUGAGACGGGAGGAGAGAAAAACACCCCUGCCCCUCCCUGCUCUCUUCCUUUCGUUCAAGCCGGGUUACUGAAGGCCUUCACGCUGUCCCCACAGGACGCAGUGCAGAAUGCAGAGGCCCACAUCAAGGCUGACUGCCUGGUUUCAGCUGUAGGAGGAAAUACAGACAGAUCUCUCCUCCUAGCCCAGCUGGGGAGGGACAGAAACUGAUCUGGGAAGGAUGGCUGUGACUUUGGCCUUUGGGUUCGCAACUUGAACUUGCUCCCCAUUAGCUUGAGAAAUCCAGGCCACGGAGAAUGUCCAAGAUUUCAGUGGGCAUGGACAGGCAUGGGAUUCGGAGCACACUGGACCUUUUCCCUCCUGAUCCCAAUUAAAUCUUGAGGGAAAGCUACGUGGAGAGGGCAUGCAUGGGAAGGCAGUCUAGACUAGAUGAUUAUCAGGACCCGUUGCUGUUUUCUCCCUCCCGUCCUUCCUUUUUUAAAAUUUAUGGUACUGAGGAUUGAACCUAGCGUGUUGCUAAGCAACACUCCACUACUUCGAUGCAUCGCCAACCAAUUUUUUUUUUUUAAACUUUGAGUCUUGAUAAGUUUCCCAGGGCGGCCUUGAACUCAUUUUGUAACCCAGGCAGUCUUUGCCUCAGCCUCCUGACUAGCUAAGAUUACGGGCCUGGCCCCACCUGUAUGCUAAGCUGAGAUUCAACAAUAGCUCUGUGUCUUUGCCCAUCCAAUUAUCUUUUCCUGUAUUUGACAAGUCAGAUCCUCAGUUUUCAAAGGUUAUGAUAAAAUUCUCUUCUACUAAAACGAACAUCUAAGGCUAAGGAGAUAGCUCAGUGAUGCAAGGACCAGGACCUGAGUUCCAUCCCCAGAACCCGCAUGAAAAUAAGCUGGGUAUGGCAUCCCAGCGCUGGCAAGGCAGAGGCGGUGGAUCCCUAGCCUGUUAGGUGAGCUCCAGGCCAAUGACAGAUCUGUCUCAAAAUACUAGUGGACAGCAUCUGAGAAACAGCACCUGAGAUUAUCCUCUGCAUUUAUUCAUCGUGAGGAUUGUGGGGGGUGAGUGGGGAUGGUGCAUACAAUGGCCUCUGCUUCCACAUGCACACACAUGGACAUGAAUACACAGCACCUUUGAUUUCAGUACUUAGGAAGCUGAUGCAGGAAGAUGGCUACUCAAGGCUACACAGAACUAAUCCUGAGCUAAGAUUACAGGCAUGGACCACCAUGUCUGGCCCUGAGCCAUUUUCUGACCCUGGGAUCAUCUCUGGUUCUCAGAAUUGUUCAGUGUAUACAAAAAACCAACACUUAGCCCAGUGACUCUUUGUCACAGUCCCAGGACUUCCACAGUGCCCUCCUGUAUUCUCUAGGCUACCUCAUCUGUCAGGCCUUCUCUCUGGCUCUUCUUCUAUUGUCCCUGACCUGCCUACAUUGUUCCUGCAGCCACUUGACCUCCAUGGCUUUGUGCUAGCCUGACACCAAUUCUGACUGAGUUAUUAGCUCAAAGAGGAUGUGGACACACAAGAUCAGAGGAGCAGGAAAAUGAAUUGCAUGAGGCCAGGGCUUGAGAGCUCCUUUUAUUGGACAUGAGCUAGAAAGUAUCUGAGAGAAGCCUGACAGUGGUGGUGUGUGCCUUUGAUCCCAGAACUCGGGAGGCAGAGUCAGGUAAGUCUCUGAGUUUGGGGCCAGCCUGAUCUACAGAAUGAGUUCCAGGAUAGCCAGGCCUACACAGAGAACCCCUGUCUGGAAAAACCAAAAAAAAGAAAAAGAAAAAAAGGAAAUAUCUGAGAGAAAGAUAGAAAGAUAAAAUUGUAAGUAUAUUUAGGAUGGAGGGGAGUGGGGAUCAGGCAAGUUAGACAAUAUGAAGAAGGGAUGAUGGGGAAGACUUUUUUUAAGGUUUUUUGAGACAGGGUUUCUCUGUAACAGUCCUAGCCAUCCUGGAUCUCGCUCUGUAGACCAGGUUGGCCUCGAACUCCCAGAGAUCCACCUGCCUCUGCCUCCGGAGUACUGGGAUUAAAGACGUGCACCACCACUGCCCAGUGAAUUUGUGUUCUUGAGGAAAGCAAUGUCUAACAGGAGCAUCACCAGUUACUGAGUAUGAGAACCAACAGCAAACAUUGUGUGUGAGUAAUUAAUAAAUCCCAGCGGUGGGCAGCAGGCAUCCAGAAAUUUCUCUCAAUGGCUUUCUCUUGCUCAGAUUUUGUCUCUGAAUUUCCUCUCUAGGAGCAGGUAAGAUAGCUCAAUGGGGAAAGGUGCUUGCAGCCAAGCCUGAGGACCUGAGUUUGAUACCCCAGCCCCACAUGAGGGAAGGAGAGAACUGGCUUCCGAAAGUUGUCCUCUGACCUCCACGUGAGGGCCGUUGUACGCACCAUCCCCACCGACCCCCCACAAUCCUCACGAUGAAUAAAUCUCUCAGGCUGAGGCUCCUGACCUUGCUAGUUAUCAGUGCAGCGGACAUUGUAGAUGCCUAACCCUUUCGCGUUUAUGCUGCUUCUGGAACUGAGAGGGAAACGAGCUCAGGAAGACUUCAAGGUAAAGCUGGAAGGCAGGGUAGACUCACCGCUGGGGGCUGCCUCCAUGUACAGUGUGGGCUCCCCCGGGGAGGAAACUAGCUCUUUCUAUGAUCGAUAGUGGGGGGCAGAGAUAACACAGCCGAGGGCCUCACUAGAAUCCGUUUUCUCACCAAAUUCUCAGGCUCCCUCCUCACCUUUGCUCUGGCUUCCUGAACCCUCGAUACAUCUGCUGCUGCUACUGUCACCACUCAGAAGACUGAUUUCCAGGAGAGGUCCUAGUCUCAUCCCGUGCCAGCCGGGGCCUAUUCCAACAGCCUUCUGAAGGUGUCAGCCCAUCCAUAAACACAGGGUAAAAUAAUAAAGGCUUUUGUCUCUCAA